rnacentral:rRNA from 1 species
GAUGAACGCUGGCGGCGUGCCUAAUACAUGCAAGUCGAGCGAACAGACGAGGAGCUUGCUCCUCUGACGUUAGCGGCGGACGGGUGAGUAACACGUGGAUAACCUACCUAUAAGACUGGGAUAACUUCGGGAAACCGGAGCUAAUACCGGAUAAUAUAUUGAACCGCAUGGUUCAAUAGUGAAAGACGGUUUUGCUGUCACUUAUAGAUGGAUCCGCGCCGCAUUAGCUAGUUGGUAAGGUAACGGCUUACCAAGGCAACGAUGCGUAGCCGACCUGAGAGGGUGAUCGGCCACACUGGAACUGAGACACGGUCCAGACUCCUAAGGGAGGCAGCAGUAGGGAAUCUUACGCAAUGGGCGAAAGCCUGACGGAGCAAAGCCGCGUGAGUGAUGAAGGUCUUCGGAUCGUAAAACUCUGUUAUUAGGGAAGAACAAAUGUGUAAGUAACUAUGCACGUCUUGACGGUACCUAAUCAGAAAGCCACGGCUAACUACGUG